UACGUAGGGGGCUAGCGUUGUCCGGAAUCAUUGGGCGUAAAGCGCGUGUAGGCGGCCCGGUAAGUCCGCUGUGAAAGUCGGGGGCUCAACCCUCGGAUGCCGGUGGAUACUGUGGGACUAGAGUACGGAAGAGGCGAGUGGAAUUCCUGGUGUAGCGGUGGAAUGCGCAGAUAUCAGGAGGAACACCAAUAGCGAAGGCAGCUCGCUGGGACGUUACUGACACUGAGGCGCGAAAGCGUGGGGAGCAAACGGG
rnacentral:rRNA from 1 species